rnacentral:rRNA from 1 species
CGGGUUCUCCCGGGGCUACGCCUGUCUGAGGGUCGCUUG